CGUAUAAGAAGAAAUAUAAACUAAAGAAAGACUGUCAUUCUUCCUCUGUGUUUUCUCCUGAUGAAAUACAGUUAGCUUGUAAUGAGGAUUAUAUGGACAUAAGAUCACUGCUAGCAAGAUUGUAGAAAAGAAGAGUGCAAGAAAAGAAUUCUGAGCUGAGUGAAAGAGAAGGGAGCCCCAGGACUUUACUUAAUCACAUACUCAAGUACAGGAUUUGCUUGUUUUAUUUUUUAAAUCUUAAUACAGGCUGCCAUCGGCCAAGCAGUUCCUAAAGUUACGUAUUGAUCACCUUCAAAAAGAUAUCGAUAGGAAUAGAAGAGAACUAGCUCUUUGCUGGUAUUUACUUGGUGAUACUAAUGAAGCAAUGAACUACAUGCAGCAUUACCUUGCUCAUACUGACCCUCAGUCUGUUAGCAAUGAUGCAAAAUGGACAGCAAAACUGAUAGAGAAACAACACAAUGUCUUACAAGGUCAAGAGAAAUUAUUAUUGGCUUUAAAAGAAAGGCACUUAACACGUUAUGAAUUACCACCAACAAAUAAGGUUGAGAGAAGAGAUGCCUCUGAUCUCAGUGUUAAUGAG